UUAAGGUGGUCUUUGACUAAAAGUGAACGUCCAACUAGGAACUUACUGCAGUUGAUAUCCCAUCAUGCGCUUAAUUAAAAUAGGCCAAAGAAUAAUCACCAGAUUUGGUGAUGACAUAAGCUCUCUUUUUUUGUAAUGAGACAGCAUAAGCUCUCUGAGAUGAUAAGUUUUUGUAGUUCCACUUGCACGAGUCAUCGCCCAAUAAUGAGUUAUGAGC
rnacentral:lncRNA from 1 species